rnacentral:lncRNA from 1 species
UGUUUCCUCCUUAUUUUGUUAUGAGUACCUUUGUGUGUAUAUAUACAUAUACUAAGCAAAUGUCUUUGUUGUCUAUCUUCUUUUGUCCCUUAUCAUGUAAUAUGGAGACAUAUUCACUUUAUAUCAUAGUAUUUAAGUGUUAAUUUUACAUUGUACUCUUUUUAAAGGAAUAUCUAGGGGAAGAGUAAGCUUCACUUAAGAACUUUACUUCCUUUUCUGUGGAAGGGGUUAGUGUAUUUUUGGUUGUACAACAGGAUACUUCUAUAGUAUGUUAGGCAGAAUUAUGACUUUGUUAUUGUCUUUAUUUGAAGAUUAAGUUUGGUUGAAGGUGAUGCUUAUAGGUGUCAAGUUGACAACGAGUGGAGUUGUGAUGGUUAAUUUUGUGUCAACUUGACCAGGUUAAGGGAAGUCCAUAUAGGUGGUAAAGCCUUAUUUCUAAGUGUGCCUGUGACAGUGUUUCUGGAAGGGCUUAGCAUUGAUUUAGUAGACUGCAUAAAGGUUCAUGCCCUCACCAAUAAAGUAGAGCAUCAUCCAGUCAGAAUAGAGGUUCCCAAUAGAACAAAAAGACAAAGGAAGGACAAAUUCCUUUUCCUUUCUUACACCUGAGACAUCCGUUUUUUCCUGCCCUUGUACAUCAGAGCUCCUGCUUCUAGGGUCUUUAAAUUCUGGGACUUACACCUAGGUCCCCCUUGUUCCCAGGCCUUUGGCUUGGAAGUAGGAGUUACACCAUUGGUUCCCCUGUUUCCCAGGCCUUUGGACUCAGACUAAAUUAUACCACUGGAUUUCCUGGUUGUCUAGGUAGCAGAUGGCAUAAUGUGGGAGUUCUGUCCUCCAUAAUCUCCUGAGCAAAUUUCUAUAAUAAAUCUCUUCUAUAAUAAAUCUAUCUAUAUGUCUGUCUAUCUAGCUAUCUGUCUAGCUCUAUCUAUUUGUCUAUUUAUUCUAUAAGUACUAUUCUUUUUCUGGAGAACCCUAAUAUAGAUUUUGGAAUUGAGAGUGGUUCCAGGGAACAGAAUUUAAAUGAGUUUUCUGACGUGCUUCUGUGGUUUCUGGAAUUGCAAUUUGACUAGAUUUAAAGAUGCUAAUGACUCACUUUCCAGGAGGAAACAAAGCACUAUUUGUCCAUGGUAUGAACUAUUUAUAGUGAUACACAAAAAUCUGCAUUAGCUAUUCCUAAUCAACCACUUAUAAGCAUCAAGGAGCUAAAUAACUUUGUAUAUGAUACCUUUAGACAUUUUAGGGAAAAUAAGAUAUAUAGUGAAAUUUUUUCAUUCCUCUCUGUUUUCAUCCUCAGGAAGAUUUUCCCUAAGCUAACAUCUGUUGCCAAUCUUUCCCUUUUUUUGCUUGAGGAGGAUUUGCCCUGAGCUAACUUCUGUCCCAGUCUUCUUCUGUUUUGUAUGUGGGUCACCACCACAGCAUAGCCAUUGACAAGUGGUGUAGGUCCGUGCCAAGGAACUGAAGCUGGGCCACCGAAGCAGAGCACACCAAACUUACCCCCUUAUGGUCUUGGGGCUGGCCCCCUGUUCAUUCCUUUUAAUGUCACUGGACAAAGUGGUGAAAGAAAAUGAUGAACUUAGAGAUCUGAAUUCUCACCUCAAACAUUGCAACAAUGACCUAAGAAUUACAAAGUGUGAUCUGAGGAAUAGUCUUACCUCCCGUAAGGACUGAAACUGCUACAAAUAAAACUUUGAUUGGAUAAAUUUCAAAAAGUUGAAUUCCCAAAAUCCUAGGGUGUCUACUGUUAAAUCAAGGGCACUGAUUGUGAAAGAGUAGUAUCCUGUAUGUUGGGAUUUCAUGUGGGAAAAUGCUGAUGAAGCUGAGGAUAUCAACUCACUAGAUUGUGACAUCUUAUUUGUGAAUGGAAGUACUCUCCCCUUCCCUAGUACCAGCAACAUCCCCACUCCAAGUGAUGGCAGCUUCCCAAUUCAUAAAGUAUCAGCCUUUCUACCUCAGUCUGAGGGGAUUAAUAUCACAUUGCCUAAGAAAAUGGGACUGACCCACAUUGAAACAGUUCUCACCUAUGACGAGACUCAUGUCCUAGCAGGCCCCUAAAGAUAUUACAGUGGGAACAACAACCACUCAUUUGGAAAAUCUAAAUGCAUGGGAGCAAUUGGAUUCCAGGGUGGCAGUGGCCAAUGACAUCACUCAAUCACCAUGGACAAUGUAAGUGUAGUUACCCUAAUGGACAGCAGAGACAAAGCAGCAAUCAGAAUAGUCUGACUAGCACAACCCUAUGGUGUUGACUGUUUUUUAUGAUGUUCCUAGAAGUGAGAGAGAUAGAGAGCCUACUAAAUUCUUACUUGAUCUGUAUAAGCAGGAAAGUUCUAGGUCAAAUGAAUAAAAAGUUAACUUGAAUCAUAAAAAUAGUCACAACCUACCAAUCAAUUCUCUGACUUGCGACAGUUUACAGACCUAGAACCCCUUAAAUUCAGGGGAGACCAGGUCUCCUUGAGGAAGGACACCAUUAUACUACUGUUAAAAUUUCUCCCAGACUUUCCAAAAGGGACAUAUGGCCUUUACCAGAGUAACUGCGUUGGGUGAAAAGAUAUAAUUAGAACUUUCAGGGACUACUUGGACAUUGGUUCUGAACAAACAUUGUUUCCAAGAGACCCAAAACAUCACAAUGGCCUUCCAGUCAGAGGAGGGGCUUAUGGGGGUCGAAGGAUUAAUGGGUUUUUACCUGAGCUCUGUCUUGCAGUCGGUCCAGAGUUUUCCUGAGCCCACCCUGUGGUUAUUUCCCAGAUCUAGAAUGCAUAAUUGAAAUAGAAAUACUUAACAGCUGAUAGAAUUCCCUCUUUGGUUCCCUAAUAUGCAGAGUGAGGGCUAUUAUAGUGCUAAAGGCUAUAUGGAAUCCAUUUGAACUGCCUCUACCUAGUAAAAUAGUAAAUGAAAAGCAAUAUUGCAUUCCUGGAGUAAUUGCAGAGUUUGUGCUACCAUCAAGAAACUGAAAGAUGAAGGGGUGGUGAUUCACACCACACCCCUCAAAACUCUAUUUGGCCUGUGCAGAAGACAGAUGGCUCUUGGAGAACAACAGUGGAUUAAGAAUAUCUUACCAAAUAUGACACUAACUGCUGCUCUGUGGCAAAUGUGUUAUCAUUGUUUGAGCAAAUUUACACAUCCCCUGGUAUUUAAUAAGCAGCUAUUGAUCUGGCAAAUGCCUUUUUCUCCAUCCCUCUCUAUAAGCUCCACCAGAAGCAGUUUCCUUUCAGGUGGCAAUACCAGCUGUACACCUUCACUGUCCUACUAGGGAUAUAUCAACUCUCUACCCAUGUGUUAAAAGUUAGCUUGUGGUGAUAUUGAUUGCUCUUCCCUUACAUAAGAUAUCACUAGUCCAUUACAUUGAUGAUAUUAUGCUGCAUGGCCCUAGUGAGUAGGAAUAAUAACUAGACUUAAUGGCAAGACAUUUACAUGUCUGUGGAUGAGGAAUUAAUCAAACUAAAAUUCAGGGGAAUUCUACUUAAGAGAAAUUUCUAGGAGUUCAGUGGUAGGGAGGAUGUGUAGAUAUUCCUUUUAAGCUUUAGAAUAAGUUGUUGCGUCUGGACCCUCCUGCAACGUAGGAGACAUAAUUCUUUGUGGGCCUCUUUUGGAUUUUUGAUAAAACAUACUUGUAUUUGGGUGUGUGACUCCAACCCAUUUAUGCAGUGACCUGAAAAGCUGCUAGUUUUGAGUGGGCCCCAGAAUGCGAGAAGGUUCUUUAACAAGUCCAGGCUGUUAUUAUAGAUGCGUUACAAUGUGAGCCAUAUAUUCCAACAGACCCAAUAGUUACUGGAGUUUAAUUGGCAGAUAGGGGUGCUGUGAGGAGCUCCUGGCAGCCCCUAUGGUUGAAUCACAGUACAGGAAUUUAGAUUUCUGGAACAAGGCCCUGUUAUCAUUCACAGGUAACAACUCUACUUAUAAGAACAAAUUUUAGCCUGCUACCAGGCCUUAGCAGAGACUGAAUGCUUCAUCAUGGACCACCGAGAUAUCAAGUGACCUGAGUUAACAUCAUGAACUGGAUGUUAUCUGACCAACCAAACCAUAAAGAUGGACAUUCACAGCAAUACUACAUCAUGAAUUGGAAGUGGUAUACAGGCAUAUCUCAGAAAUAUUGUAGGUUUGGUUCCAGACCACCACAAUAAACUGAAUAUUGCAAUAAAGUGAGUUACUUGACUUUUUUGGUUUCUCAGUGCAUAUCAAGUUUUGUUUACACUACACUGUAGUCUAUAAAGUUAGCAAUAGCAUUAUGUCUAAAAAAAUGUACAUACCUUAAUCAAAAAAUACCUUAUUGCUGGCGCCAGCCUGGUGGCAAAGUGGUUAAGUUUGUACACUCUGCUUCGGCAGCCCGGGGUGCACAGGUUUGGAUCCUGGGUGUGAAUACACAUACUGCUCUUCAAGCCAUGCUGUGGUAGUGUCCCACAUGCAAAGUAGAGGAAGAUUGGCACAGACGUUAGCUCAGGGACCAUCUUGUUCAAGCAAAAAGAGGAAUAUUGGCAACAGAUGUUAGCUCAGGGCCAAUCUUCCUCACACACACACACGAAAUACUUUAUUGCUAAAAAAUGAUAACCAUCAUUUGAGCAUUCAGGAAGUUGUAUUCUUUUUGCUGGUGGUGGGUUUUGCUUGAUAUUGGUGGCUGCUGACAGAUCAGGUUGGUGGUUGCUGAAGGUUGGGGUGCCUGACAGUUUCUUAAAAUAAGACAAAAAUUAAGUGUGCUGCAUCGAUUGAUUUUUCUUCAUGAAAAAUUUCUCUGUAGCAUAUGAUGCUAUUUGAUAGCAUUUUACUCACAGUAGAAUGUCUUUCGAAAUUGGAGUCAAUCCUCUCCACCCCUGCCACUGCUUUAUCAAGUAAGUUUAUGUAAUAUCCUAAAUCCUUUGUUGUCAUUUCAACAAUCCUCACAGCAUCUUCACCAGGAGUAGAUUUCAUCUCAAGAAACCACUUUCUUUACUCAUCCAUAGGAAGCAAGUCUUCAUCCAUUGAUGUUUUAUCAUAAGAUUGCAGCAAUUCAGUCACAUCUCAGGUCCUACUUCUAACUCUAGUUCUGUUGCUAUUUCCUCCACAUCUGCAGUUACUUCCUUUGCUGAAGUGUUAAGCCAUCAAAGUCAUCCACGUGGGUUGGAAUCACUUCUUGCAAACUCCCGUUAAUGUUCAUAUUUUGACCUCUUCCCGUGAAAUACAAGUGUUCUUAAUGUCAUCUGGAAUGGUUAAUCUUUUCCAGAAGGUUUUCAAAUUAUUUUGCUCAGGUUCAUCAGAAGAAUCACUAUCUAUGGCAGCUAUAGCUUUAAAAAAUGUAUUUCUUAAAUAGUAAGAUUUGAAAGUUGAAAGUGCUCUUUGAUCCAUGGAUUGCAGAAUGGAUGUUGUGUUAGCAGACAUGAAAACAGCAUUAAUCUCAUUGUACAUCUCCAUCAGAGCUCUUGGGUGACCAAGCGCAUUGUCAAUGAGCAGUAAUAUUUCAAAAGGAAUCUUUUUUAUGAGCAGUAGUUCUCAACAGUGGGCUUAAAAUAUUCAAUGAACCAUGUUGUAUAAAGGUGUGCUGUCAUCCGGGCUUUUUUACCCCCCAUUUAUACAGCAUAGGAAGCAUAGAUUUAGCAUAAUUUUUAAGGGCUGUAGGAUUUUUGGAAUAGUAAAUGAGUAUUGGCUUCAACUGAAAGGCACCAGCUGAAUUAAUCCCUAACAAGAGAGUCAACUUGUAUUUUGAAUCUUUGAAGCCUAGCAUUGACUUCUCUCUAGCUAUCAAAGUCCUAGAUGGCAUCUUCUUCUCAUAUAAGGCUGUUUCGUCUACAUUGAAAAUCUGUCGUUUAGUGUAGCCACCUUCUUUAAUUUUGUUAGCUAGAUCUUAUGAGUACCUUGCUGCAGCUUCCACAUGAGCACUUGCUUCUUCACCUUUCACUUUUAUGUUAUGGAGAUGACUUCUUUCCUUAAACCUCAUGAACCAACCUUUGCUAGCUUCAAACUUUUCUUCUGCUUCCUUACCUCUCCUGGCUUACCCCUUCCUGGCUUUAUCUUCUAUACAGACCACUAAAAUUUUCUCUAUAUAAGCAAUAAGGCUGUUUUGCUUUCUUAUCACUUGUAUGUUCACUGAAAUAGCACUUUUAAUUUCCUUCAAGAACUUUUCCUUUGCAUUCACACCUUGGCUAAUCAUUUGGUACAAGAGAUCUAGCUUUUGGCCUAGCUCAACUUUCAACAUGCUUUCCUCACUAAGCUUAAUCACUUCUAGAUUUUUACUUAAAAUGAGCAGUGUGCAACUCUUCCUUUCACUUGAACACUUAGAGGCCGUUAUGGGAUUAUUAAUUAGGCUAAUUUCAAUAUUUUUGGGUCUCAGUGAAUAAGGAUGCCUGAGGAUAGGGAGAGAGACAGUGGAAUGACUGGUUGGAAGAAUAGUCAAAACACACACACCAUUUAUUAAUUAAGUUUGCUGUCUUAAAUGGGUAUGGUCUGUGGUGCCCCAAAGCAAUUACAAUAGUAACAUCAAAGAUCACUGAACACAGAUCACCAUAAAAAAUAUAAUAAUAAUGAAAAAGUUUGAAAUAUUGUGAGAAUUACUAAAAUGUAACACAGAGACACAAAGUGAGCAAAUGCUGUUGGAAAAAUGGCAUUGAUAGACUUGCCUGACACAGGGUUGAGCAAAACCUUCAAUUUGUAAAAAACAUAGUAUCUGCAAAGCACAAAAAAGCAAAAAAAUAAAAUGAAAUAUGAUUCUAUACAGGAUUGGGUUUGGGCAGACACUGAAGGCACAAGUAAGUUUUGUGAAGAAGUGGCCUAAAUGUCAAUGAUCCAUACUUCCGCUGCUUUGCCUUCUCUCUCUUAACCCACACCCAUGACUCCUUAGUGGAACGCCCUAAGAUCAGUUGAUAGAGGCAUAAGAGAUGCGAGCCUGGUUUUUAGAUGGUUCUGCAUGAUAUGCAGGCACCACUUGAAUGUCGAGAGCUGCAGCACUACACCCCCUCUCUAGGACAUCCCUGAAGGACAGUGAUGAAGGAAAAUCCUCCCAGUGGGCAGAACUUCGUUCAUUGAACCAAGAUGUUCACAUUGUUUGGAAGGAGAACUGACCAGACAUUGAAUUAUAUACUGAUUCAUCAGCUGUGGACAAUGGUCAGACUUGAUGGUCAAGGGCUUAAAAGUAACAUGAUUGGAAAAUUUUUGACAAUAAAAUUUGAUGAAUAGGUAUGUGGCUAGAGCUCUCUCAAUGGACAAAAAUUCAGAAACAUAUUUGUGUUGCAUGUGUGUAAUCACCAAAGGGUGACAAGUGCAGAGGAGGAUUUCAAAAAUUGAGUGUAUAAAAAGACAUUUUCAAUGUGCACCAGUCGAUUUAUUUGCCCAGUCACCCCUUUCAUUGCCCAAUGGGUUCAUGAACCAGUUGGCCAUAAUGGUAGAAUGGAGGUUAUACAUGGGCUCAGAAACAUGAACUUCCACUUACCAAGGCCCAGUUCUAGUUCUGUCAGCAGUGAACACAAACAUUGAGUCACUGAUACGGUACCAUUCCUCAGGUGUUCAGUCUGAUGGGUUUAAGGACCUCAUUUAUAUCAAGAGAAGUGUAGCAAUAGGCCCAUGCUAAUGGAAUUAAUAGGUCUCAGCGUGUCCCCAGCAUCCUGAAGCAACUGGCUAGAUAGAAUGAAGGAAGGACAUUUUAAGGCUCAGUUCCAGCAGUAGCCAAGUGGCAGUAUGUUUCAGGGCUGGGGCAAUGUUCUCCAGGAGGCUGUAUGUGCUCUGAAUCAGUGUCCAAUAUAUAGUGCUGUUUCUAAGAUUGCCAUGAUUCACAGGUCCAGGAAUCAAGGGGUGGAAAUGAGAAGGGUACCACUCAAUAUUAUCCCUUUCAUCCACUAACAAUGUUUUUGCUUCUUGUUCCCAUGACUUUAAGUUCUGCUGACCUAGAGAUCUUAGUUCCAGAGGAAGGAUGGCUUCUAACAGGAGACAAACUGGAACUUAAGAUUGCUGCCAAGCCACUCUGAGCUCAUCAUGCCUCUGAAUCAACAGACAAAGAGAGAAAUUAUUUUUCUGGCUGGAGUAAUUUUUCUAAGUAUUAUCAAAGAAACAAUCAUAGCUGGAAAGUAGUUAAAGCUGAAAAAACAGGCUUAUUGUAAUAGAAGGAAAUACAGCUCAGUUUAGAACUUUGCUCAGUUUUGAAUGCAGCAUGGGCAUGUUGGAAUUUAUAACCAAAGAGCUUAGUGGAGGUCAGUGGAAGUGGUAAUAGUAAGUGGAAACAUCAAAGGUAAUGGGAAUUUUGCUACAGUGAUCUAACAGGAUUCUUGCUGAAGACAAGCUAGGCUGAUCAGAUACCUAGUGAAUGGUGGUGGGUGAGAAACACAAUUAGAUAUAAAAAUUAAUAGAUAUGGAUGAUGAGGGACUCUUGUUAAACUGAACAAGCUUAACUAGGAUUCUUGCUAAGGAUUUUACAAGGAAGUGUGCAGCUGAGCCUAGGAGAAGGAUCAGGAGCUUAACUAAAGUUUGGUAAAGCAAAGAAUCUUUGUCAGUCCCUCUCUUGUUCAGGAAAAGAAGAGACAUUCUUCUUUUCUUUAAACAUUAUAAGUCCAUUUUUGUUCAGUUAUCUUUUGUUCAUUAAGGACCUGGUGAACCAUCUGUUGGGAAUGAGUAGUAGAGGAUAUGCUCUAUGGUGUUAACUUUCAAACGUUUAAUGAAAGGGAGUUUCUAAAAAAAGAAAAGAAAAACAAAGACUAAUAGUUAAAAAAUAAGUUUCAGGUUCCAGAGGGUAGUCAGUCAAGUUGAUUUAUAGAUGUUGGGCUAAACUAUCAUUAGAUGGUGGAGUCAAGACAGCAGUGGCAAUCUGAUAGAUUUCCUAGUUUGCAGUUUGAAUGUCUGUGGUGAUGGCAUAGAUGUUCCAAAAACUUUCCAAGUGGUUCACACAGCAGCAGGCAUGAAUUUUGCUCAUUCGUGAUUUGUUGUGGUGAUUGAUAUCCUUGAAGUUUAUAUCAAGUCAUCCAGCUUCAGCUUGAAGUGCUCUGGGAAAAGGGUAGCUUUAGUUCUCAAUGAUCCCAAGUCAGGAGGGAGAAAAAAUUGAAAGGUUGAUUUGGAGAGUUGUAACAAGAUAUUGGUAGAAUCUAGAAUAAUUCAAAAUUUGCCAAGGAUUUACAAAAGUGCAGGAUGGAGCAUACAAGGGUGAGAAUGGGAAUGGCCUCCUCUGAUGCAAUUGCCACCUUGACUAGACUCAAAUACUAGCAGGCUCCAAAAGGUGAAGUACAAAAUGUCACCAUGAAAUUGUGUGGUCUACCUCAAAAUAACUACUUGAGUUUUCUAAUUUAUGCAAACAUAAAUCUUGGAAAUAGUGUGGGAAUGGAUAGUAAGCAUGUGGGAUAAUUGUGUAAGAAACAUAGAGUUAGAUCAGCUGAAUUUGUUGAUUUGAGCCAAAUAAGCAUAGAUUCUGCAUUUAAUGUUGAUACAUAGAUAGUUAGAAAGGACUCUAUGAUUUUGUAGGGAUGUUUGAUUUAUAAACAUAAAUCAAAAGAUAUCCCAACAUGAGUGAAAUGGAAAUGCCUGAUCACCAUUUGGAUUACUGUAGAGGAAGGGAUUCGAAAGCUUAGGGAGAUUGGAAUGUUAGAGUGUUUUCAUCAUGGCAGACCUACUUACUCACACUGGGAGGGUCCAGAACACACACUUUUCUCCAAUAUUUUGUGAAACAAAUUUGGGAAUUGAGCCCUAGUAUCUUUGAAGAAGCCCUGUGAUUGUUCUUCUCUGUAGGCCAGACUUUGUAGUGGGAACUGCGGACACUCAACUGGAAAAUGUAAAUACAGUGUGAGUAAUUGGGUCCCAGAAUAGCAGGGGCCAAGUGGCUUUACUCAACAGCCAGAGGAAAGGUUGGUGUUUUUACUCUAAUGGACAGAAUAGUCAAAGCAGUGAUCUAAGUGGUGUUAGUGGAACAGAAGUAUGGUG